rnacentral:rRNA from 1 species
UACGUAGGGUGCAAGCGUUGUCCGGAAUUAUUGGGCGUAAAGAGCUCGUAGGCGGUCUGUCACGUCGGCUGUGAAAACUCGGGGCUCAACCCCGAGCCUGCAGUCGAUACGGGCAGACUAGAGUGCGGUAGGGGAGACUGGAAUUCCUGGUGUAGCGGUGAAAUGCGCAGAUAUCAGGAGGAACACCGGUGGCGAAGGCGGGUCUCUGGGCCGACACUGACGCUCAUGCACGAAAGCGUGGGGAGCAAACAGG